CAAUGUUUUCUUUGGUUGUUACAAUAAUCUUUUCCGUCUUCUGAAAAAGGUUGGUGCUGAGAAGAACCUUCUAGUCAAGGAUCAUACUCACACUUUUGUAAACAAAGGAGGAGAACUUGGCGAACUUGAUGUUCGUUUUCCUGUUGGAUUUAUUGACUGUGAUAAUAUCAGUGCACUGUGAUAACAU